GAUGAACGCUGGCGGCGUGCCUAAUACAUGCAAGUCGAGCGAACGGACGAGAAGCUUGCUUCUCUGAUGUUAGCGGCGGACGGGUGAGUAACACGUGGAUAACCUACCUAUAAGACUGGGAUAAAUUCGGGAAACCGGAGCUAAUACCGGAUAAUAUUUUGAACCGCAUGGUUCAAAAGUGAAAGACGGUCUUGCUGUCACUUAUAGAUGGAUCCGCGCUGCAUUAGCUAGUUGGUAAGGUAACGGCUUACCAAGGCAACGAUGCAUAGCCGACCUGAGAGGGUGAUUGGCCAAACUGGGACCGAGACACGGGCCAGACUUCUUCGGGAGGGCAGAGGUGGGAAAUUUUCCGAAUGGGGCGAAGGCUGACGGGGGAAAGGCGGGGGAGGGAAUGAGGUCUUUCGGUCGUAAAACUUUUGUAUUUGGGAAGGACAAUAGUUGUAGUUACUGGGCACAAUUUGGCGGGAACUUAACAAAAAAGCCCGGGUUAAUUCCGG
rnacentral:rRNA from 1 species